GACGAACCGUGCGAACGUUGUUCGGAAUCACUGGGCUUAAAGGGCGCGUAGGCGGGCCAGCAAGUCAGGGGUGAAAUCUUUCAGCUCAACUGGAAAAGGGCCUUUGAUACUGUUGGUCUCGAGGGAGGUAGGGGCAUGCGGAACUUCCGGUGGAGCGGUGAAAUGCGUAGAUAUCGGAAGGAACGCCGGUGGCGAAAGCGGCGUGCUGGACCUCUUCUGACGCUGAGGCGCGAAAGCUAGGGGAGCAAACGGGG
rnacentral:rRNA from 1 species